CCUACGGGCUGCUCCAGGCGAGAAAACUUUGCAAUGUGCGAAAGCACGACAAGGUUAAUCCGAGUGGUUUCUGCUAAAGAAACCUUUUGUUAGUCCUAGAAACACUGAUGAAUAAGGGGUGGGCAAGUUCUGGUGUCAGCCGCCGCGGUAAAACCAGCACCUCAAGUGGUCAGGAUGAUUAUUGGGCCUAAAGCAUCCGUAGCCGGCUAUGUAAGUUUUCGGUUAAAUCUGUGCGCUUAACGUACAGGCUGCCGGGAAUACUGCAUAGCUAGGAAGUGGGAGAGGUAGACGGUACUCGGUAGGAAGGGGUAAAAUCCUUUGAUCUAUUGAUGACCACCUGUGGCGAAGGCGGUCUACCAGAACACGUUCGACGGUGAGGGAUGAAAGCUGGGGGAGCAAACCGGAUUAGAUACCCGUGUAGUC
rnacentral:rRNA from 1 species